ensembl:lncRNA
GUUGGCUAAUUCCUCUUUGUCCCCCUGCUCAGGGAUGGCUCCUGUGUAACGAGUCUCCUCCUCUUCGUCUGAGGAUGAGUAAGGAAGGAUCGGUCCAAUAUGCAGCGUGUUCUGCCCGCCUUCACUCUGGUCCCUGUCUCCAGUCCCACGCAUCCUCAUCCUGCUACUUUGCCCUGGAUUCCCCACUCAACUGCUCCCUUGGAUUCCCCUCUGGACCUGCUUAGCCUCCGCACCUAGAUUCCUACAACCCACCCGAGAUUCCCAUUGCCUGCACUCCAUCUUCUUCCUG